rnacentral:lncRNA from 1 species
GUCUCUGUGUUUCCCAUGCCACAACAGCAAAAGGCAAAAGGCACUGGGACAUGAGAUCUUAAACUGAACAGUGGAGAGAGAGUUAAUAUGUGGCAAUGGAAACAGUCAUGAGAGCUUCUGAGGCCAUUCCCUCUUUGCAGACAGACCUGCUGUGAUUUGACCAUGAUGUCAUCUUCUGAGUAAACUAUUCCUCAUGUAAUGCAAGCUAUAAAUUACCUGGUCUUGAAUGAAGCAUGUCAUCUCCCAGUGUCUGCUUUCUCAUCAUCAAACAAACAAAAUACCUCAAGACAACGUCUGUUCACCACAGUGCCUGCAUCCUCCCUGCUUAGCCCAUAGCUUGGCUCCGACCCUUGGCGUUUCUGGUGACUAGCACUGGCCAUAGGGCUCACUAUCAGAGAAUAAAU